CAGAUAAUCAGGAAAAGGAUGCAGCGAGCUGUAUUAAAACAGUGUGAAGAUUUGUUAUGAUAGAAUUCACAACGUACAACGAUGUCUAGUUGCUACCUCAGUGCACUGAACAAACAGCACUUCAGUCAGUACCAAAGGAAGGCAAGGGGUACCGGAGGAAGCAUUGCAUUUUGAAUAGCACUUGAAACAGAGGAACUGCCAGAAGAGACAAACAGCCAAGGGGCUGCAUGCCUGCAUGCCCAUACUGAUUGCCUCAGGCAGUGUUGGUGGAAGAAGUACCAUUCUCUGGUUAAAAGGAACCCUACCAAUGAAGUAAUCCACUCGGUGGCCCAUCAUGUUGGUGGAUUUUGUCGGGCA